rnacentral:rRNA from 1 species
UACCCGCAGCACAAGUGGUGGUCAUUAUUAUUGGGCCUAAAGCGUCCGUAGCUGGCUUGUUAGAUGCCUGGGUAAAUCGAAGCGCUCAACGUUUCGAAUUCCGGGUAGACCGGCAAGCUCGAGACCGGGGAGAGGUGUAGGGUACUCGGGGGGGUAGGGGUAAAAUCCUGUAAUCCUCCGGGGACGACCAGUGGCGAAGGCGCUACACUAGAACGGCUCUGACAGUGAGGGACGAAGCCCUGGGGCGCAAACCGG